UGGAAACAUGGCUCCAUAGGCCAUUGGGUCUUCUCUCCCGCCCUGGAAAAAAAAACAUUCGUCAAAGAUGCCAUCAUCACAUGCUAUUAACUAUACCAUGCAGCUAUACCUGGUCACAUUCACCAAGGAUCUCUAAAAAACUGGUGGAGAAUAGGAAGUUGGCUGAUUGAUAGCUUUGUGUAAGCUCAUUUCUCACUAAACUGGCUUUGAAACAUAAUGAAGAGGAUUCUGCACUUAUCUGGGUGGAUCUCGGCAUGAUUUCCGUAAAAGGGAGAUAACAGGGCAGAAGCAAGACUUGAGGCAAAGAGUGGACCCAAUUGAUUCAGGUGUGGAUCAUUAUAGGUUCAAAGAAUGCCAAUGUGUUAGACUGAUAGUGAAUGACUGAGGCUCAUCCCAACGUCAGUAUCAUAUAAA
rnacentral:lncRNA from 1 species